rnacentral:miRNA from 1 species
AUAUGAAUCAUCAGGGGACCUUGUUAAAGUGCAAAUUCUGAUAUUGUAGGUCUGAAACAGGACCCAAGAUUCUAAAUUGUAAUAAGCUCUCAAGUGAUGUCCAU